CCCAACGAACAUACCACGCUGAAUACAUCCGUUCCCCUCCGAUUACCCAAAUUAAACCACCUCCGGCGCCGUUAAUACUUAAAAGGGGGAACGCUUGGGAACACCGCGUGUUGUUGGCC
rnacentral:rRNA from 1 species